rnacentral:lncRNA from 1 species
UACGCUCCUCGUUGUGAACCUAAAUCAUCUUUUGCAAGCAAGUUGAAGUGUGGAUUUUUGCUGAGGGUCAUCCCUGCUUGUCACUUCUUGCUCUAGACCGCUGGGAACUGUAGUUCCCACACUUUACAUGGGCCCAAAUUCAAGAACAGUGGGCAAGAAGUGGCACCCUUUUAAAAGCAUUGACUGGGGAGUCACUGAUAGGAUGUCCUGGAACCGGUUGGCAUUCAUUAUUCACUUAGACAGGUGGGAGAAUUGUGAAUAUGGAACAACUCUAUCAAUCCAUUAACAAACAUUGUUUUCUACAUAAUAAGUGGCAGAAAUACAAAGACAAAAAUGAAACAAAUCUUGUCAUCAAGGAACUUAGUCUAAAAGGUUGAGGGGGAGGCGAUGAGAAGACAACAGGUAAGUACAGUAUAUCUAGACAAAAAGUCAUUUUGAGGGGAGGAGGGAAGGUACCCAAAACUAGAGGAUUCCAGAAUCUUAAAGGAACCUAGGCAUUCUAAGAUGUGAGGAAAGAGCCUUCUGGGCAGAGGGAAAGCCAAUACAAUGAAACAGAUUAGAAUUGAAGUUUCCUGUAUAGGGAGGAGUAAAAAGGCCAGUUUAGUUGGACCAUAGUCUGUGAAAUGGAGUUAAUGUGUAACAGACCUGGAAAAGUAGAGUAGUGGCAGAUGUUGAGAUGUUUUAAAUGAUAAAGUAGUCUAUUUCAUCUUAGAAGCUGUGUAAAAGGAAUUUAUCCUUUUCCCCUUUUCAGCUAUUUGAACCCCGGCUAGAAGCAAAGACUGUGUGAAGAAAAUCAUUGGAUCAAUUUAGUCACGAGGGGAGAAUAACAGACAGAAAAAUGGAACAAUUUGGAGUCAAAAAUAUCCCCACACCAUCAGUGCAGGAUGAUCUUCCCUGGACUGCCCCCUGACCAGCAAAGACAAAAUGGAAUGCCAUGAUUGGUUCCUGAGAUGUGACAUGUGAGAGUCAGUGGGAUGAGGAAGGAUUGUAUGAAAAACCAUUUGAGAGAAGGAAGUAAGGGCUCUGUCUCAGGCAUCCUAUCCAGGAACUGGGAUGCUGGGGUGCUGCUAUAGAAGCCAUGUGGCUAGCUAGAAUAGACUUUUCUUUCUAUCUCUCUGCCUUUACCUAUUCAAGUAAUUCUAAUAAACUAUAAAAAUUCUAAGGACCCUAGUCCUAA